AGUGAACGCUGGCGGCGUGCCUAAUACAUGCAAGUCGAACGGAGUGGCGCACGGGUGAGUAAUAUAUAGCUAAUCUGCCACUUGCUGGAGGAAAACAGUUAGAAAUGACUGCUAAUACUCCAUAGAAAGGGAUGAGACUAUAUCGUAUCCGCUGUUCGGUGGGGUAAUGGCCUACCGAGGAUAUGACGCGUACCUGGUCUGAGAGGAUGAUCAGUCACAUUGGAACUUAGACACGGUUCAAACUCCGACGGGAGGCAGCAGUAGGGGAUAUUGCGCAAUGGGGGACACCCUGACGAAGCAACGCCGCGUGGAGGAUGACACUUUUCGGAGCGUAAACUCCUUUUGUUAGGGAAGCGGUACCUAACGAAUAAGCACCGGCUAACUCCGUGCCAGCAGCCGCGGUAAUUC
rnacentral:rRNA from 1 species